AUUGAACGCUGGCGGCAGGCCUAACACAUGCAAGUCGAGCGGAUGAAGGGAGUUUGCUCCUGGAUUCAGCGGCGGACGGGUGAGUAAUGCCUAGGAAUCUGCCUGGUAGUGGGGGAUAACGUCCGGAAACGGGCGCUAAUACCGCAUACGUCCUGAGGGAGAAAGUGGGGGAUCUUCGGACCUCACGCUAUCAGAUGAGCCUAGGUCGGAUUAGCUAGUUGGUGGGGUAAAGGCCUACCAAGGCGACGAUCCGUAACUGGUCUGAGAGGAUGAUCAGUCACACUGGAACUGAGACACGGUCCAGACUCCUACGGGAGGCAGCAGUGGGGAAUAUUGGACAAAGGGCGAAAGCCUGAUCCAGCCAUGCCGCGUGUGUGAAGAAGGUCUUCGGAUUGUAAAGCACUUUAAGUUGGGAGGAAGGGCAGUAAGUUAAUACCUUGCUGUUUUGACGUUACCAACAGAAUAAGCACCGGCUAACUUCGUG
rnacentral:rRNA from 1 species